rnacentral:tRNA from 1 species
GUCCGGCUGGCUCAGUCAGUAGAGCGUGGAACUCCUGAUCUCGGGGCUGUGAGUUCAAGCCCCACACUGGGCG